GAUGAACGCUGGCGGCGUGCCUAAUACAUGCAAGUCGAGCGAACAGACGAGUAUCUUGCUCCUCUCACGUUAGCGGCGGACGGGUGAGUAACACGUGGCUAACCUACCUCUAAGGCUUAGAUAACUUCGGGAAACCGGAGCUCAUACCGGAUACUCUAUUUAACCGCAUGGUUCAAUAGUGAAUGACCGUUUUGCUGUCACUUCUCGAUUUAUCCGCGCCGCAUUAGCUAGUUGGUAAGGUAACGGCUUACCAAGGCAGCGAUGCGUAACCGAGCUGAGAGGGGGAAGGGCGACACGGGGACUGAGAGGCGGUCCAGACUCCUACGGGAGGCAGAAGUAGGGAAUCUUCGGCAAUGGGCGAAAGACUGACGGAGCAACGCAGCGUGAAUGAUGAAGGGCUGCGGGUCGUAAAACGCUGUUAUUAGGGAAGAACAAAUGUGUAAAUAACGAUGCACGUCUUGACGGUACCGAAUCAGAAAGCAACGGCUAACUACGUG
rnacentral:rRNA from 1 species